rnacentral:rRNA from 1 species
UACGUAGGUGGCAAGCGUUGUCCGGAUUUAUUGGGUUUAAAGGGUGCGUAGGCGGUCUAUUAAGUCAGUGGUGAAAUACUCCAGCUUAACUGGAGGGGUGCCAUUGAUACUGGAUGGCUUGAAUCCGGGAGAGGGAUGCGGAAUUCCAGGUGUAGCGGUGAAAUGCGUAGAUAUCUGGAGGAACACCGGUGGCGAAGGCGGCAUCCUGGACCAACACUGACACUGAGGAGCGAAAGCCAGGGGAGCAAACGGG